rnacentral:lncRNA from 1 species
UUCAGAUCGAGACAGGUACGUUACACUCUAGUUUUCUUUAUGAUGUGCUCAGACUCAGGUGUAAAUCAAAUUCUGUCAGUUCAUGGGCAAUAAAAUAUUAAUUUAUAAAUGACCUCACAGAGUCUUAACUGUCCUAUCUCCUAACGUGACUGUUCUCUGGCGGGUACAGUCUGUGACUCUAUAACUGAACUACCUUUCUUCUCUUUAGGUCCUUGCGCCCUGAAAACCAUCACCGCGGUGAACGCAUGCCAUAGCAGCAGUAUCGUGGUUAGCUGGGAGCAUACAGAGUUAUUCCUACCAUCGUGGCGACGGCAGAGGGACAAGACCAAUCCAUGUUCACCUGUAACAGCACGUCCACUUCGUGAGCUCAUGGGAGUGCACGGCGGCAUGCACACACCAUCAUCGUCUCCGUCCCCUCCGACAAGUGCAGCACCUUGAGGAGCCCACCAAAGAAGAAUCAACACAGCUCCCUGUGUUCCUGAGGAUGUGACAGUGGUAGCGUCCUGCAAGGCAGAAGGUACAGUGGUGUCCUGGGCUCACUCCUUGGUGGCCCAGUCCUACCUCCUCACCGCCACCAGCCGAGGCGGUGACGUCCGCACCUGUAACAGCUCUGUGAACAAAUGUACCCUGGCUAAGCUCCACUGUGGUCAGCCCUACACAUUCAGCGUGACCGCCAGCGCCAGCACCUGCACCAGCAAGGCCAGCCCCAACGUCACCUUCAGCACAGUGCCCUGUGACCCCAUUGGCCUGUCCGUUCAUGUCCAGUGUGAGACUAGCUCAGGCGUGCUGUCCUGGUCCCCCAGCCAGGGCUCUGUGGGGUACUACGGCUUUG